UGGUGGUGUGGGAGCCCUGGUGUUGUGGUAGAGCCCGGGAGCAGGAUAUCCUGAUGGCUGCUGAAAGUUGUUCUGUCUUGUUCUUGCUGCCUUUGCCAUGCCCAGUUUGUAGGAUCACUGGAUAACUCAGGAUGAAGAGAUCUCAGCAUCCCUGCGUCCAGAUUCCCACUCAUCCCAGAGACAGCUUUAAGAUCAGAUCAGGCUACUUCUGGCUUUUACCCAGUUUGGUCUUGAAAACCUACAAAGAUGAAGUGCACACAGACUCUCUGGACAUCCCAUUGGCAUCUCCUGUCUCAGGCAACUUGGACCCGUCUGGAGGUCAUUCACUGUAAGAGGCCUGUGGACACUAAAGAGAGCUUAACUCAGAAGAGCCAGUGGCUACAAGGAAGCUCCUGUUGAGCCUCUCGGCAGCGUGCCCUGCACAAAUGGAACCGUGGGGAAAUUGAGAUGAUAAAUCUGUUGCUGUUGAGCAUGCACAAGGCUGUGUCCUCCAAGCCCUGGAAAGGCCCAGACUAACAGAUUCCUUGGGAUGUAAAAAGGGCUUAUUCAAAAGCUUUCAGAAUCUCAAGUCUCUGCUUGAACAUCUAGAACCUGUAGAAGAAAGCUAGCCAGUUGGGAGGGUUUAAUGUACUCCAAACAAAAUAUAGGUAUUUGAAAUAGAUUAAUGUUUUUCAUCUGUAAUUAUUAAUAAAAAUACCCUCAUCUUGA